rnacentral:rRNA from 1 species
AGUUUGAUCAUGCCUCAGAUUGAACGCUGGCGGCAGGCCUAACACAUGCAAGUCGAGCGGUAACAGGAAUUAGCUUGCUAAUUUGCUGACGAGCGGCGGACGGGUGAGUAAUGCCUAGGGAACUGCCCAGUCGAGGGGGAUAACAGUUGGAAACGACUGCUAAUACCGCAUACGCCUACGGGGGAAAAGAGGGGACCUUCGGGCCUUCUGCGAUUGGAUGUACCUAGGUGGGAUUAGCUAGUUGGUGAGGUAAUGGCUCACCAAGGCGACGAUCCCUAGCUGUUCUGAGAGGAUGAUCAGCCACACUGGGACUGAGACACGGCCCAGACUCCUACGGGAGGCAGCAGUGGGGAAUAUUGCACAAUGGGCGCAAGCCUGAUGCAGCCAUGCCGCGUGUGUGAAGAAGGCCUUCGGGUUGUAAAGCACUUUCAGCGAGGAGGAAAGCUUAAGCGUUAAUAGCGUUUAGGUGUGACGUUACUCGCAGAAGAAGGACCGGCUAACUUCGUGCCAGCAGCCGCGGUAAUACGAGGGGUCCAAGCGUUAAUCGGAAUUACUGGGCGUAAAGCGUACGCAGGCGGUUUGUUAAGCGAGAUGUGAAAGCCCCGGGCUCAACCUGGGAACUGCAUUUCGAACUGGCAAACUAGAGUCUUGUAGAGGGGGGUAGAAUUUCAGGUGUAGCGGUGAAAUGCGUAGAGAUCUGAAGGAAUACCGGUGGCGAAGGCGGCCCCCUGGACAAAGACUGACGCUCAUGUACGAAAG